GAGUUUGAUCAUGGCUCAGGAUGAACGCUAGCGGCAGGCUUAACACAUGCAAGUCGAGGGGCAGCGCGGGUAGCAAUACCUGGCGGCGACCGGCAAACGGGUGCGGAACACGUACAGAACCUACCUUGAUCUGGGGCAUAGCCCGGAGAAAUCCGGAUUAACUCCCCAUAACAUAUAUGAGAGGCAUCUCUUGAAUAUUAAAAAUUUAUUGGAUCGAGAUGGCUGUGCGUCCCAUUUAGCUAGUUGGUAGGGUAACGGCCUACCAAGGCAACGAUGGGUAGCUGGUGUGAGAGCACGACCAGCCACACGGGCACUGAGACACGGGCCCGACUCCUACGGGAGGCAGCAGUGAGGAAUAUUGGUCAAUGGACGCAAGUCUGAACCAGCCAUGCCGCGUGAAGGAUGAAGGCCUUCUGGGUUGUAAACUUC
rnacentral:rRNA from 1 species